UAACGGCAUUUGACGAAUGCAUGAAAAAAAAUAGAAGCCUUUAAAAAAAAUAUUAAAAGGGCUUCAACAAAGAAGAAUCUGCAAUCGUCAAGGAGCCACACACUGACGAAACUACAAGUGGACUCUGCCAUUGCCCAAGGCUCGUUGCUCUUCAUCGACCUCAUGGGGGUCGAAACAAUGGAUGACGUUUCAGGUACGGCGUCAACCCAGGAGGAGAUGAAGAGCGGGAGCAAAACACUCAUUUUUGAGAGCGUUUCUCAUGGAUAUGGCCAGCAAGGGUUCCAGCACAUCUUAUCGGAACAGCAAACUGACCCAUUAUUUACAUGAGAUAAAGAAGAGAACUCCAGCAAUGAAGAUGUUUAAUCAAACCUGCAAAAACAUCUACCAGAAUAACUCUAGAUGUAUUAGAGUUCUCAAAAAGAUUGCAAAAAUAACAAGUUAACACCACAUGAAUGAAUAGACCACAUGAAUGACUUCGUCCAAUCAAGACGAGUUGAAGAGUUGAAACCGAAGUUCUACUGAACUUAAUGGAUCCUGCAGCCUCUCCCGAGACACAAACCAGGGUUUUACACAACUCCCCCAUGCACUCGAGCUAUGUCAAUAGGCCGUUUUCCCUCUUCGCUUUACUUCAUUACAAUAGAUAAAGGCAGCGUCUGGAAUGAUCUCCGACGUAGGUCCCUUGGUUCAGAGAACAAAGUUAAAAUACGGGCAGAGAGAGAAAGGGGGUGAAGGACGAGAACAAGAACCCCCCCCCCCCCUUUUUUUUUAAAAAGAACACUUCAUUUUUGGCACACCACCAAUUUGUCAAUAAAAGCAGAGCAGCAUUGGAGUUAAUUCUUAUAAUCACCACAUUAUUUUAGGGUCUUAAGCAGGCUUAACAGAGGCUGACAUCCAUAUGUUCUGUUUUACCUAUCAUGUCUAUAUAUUAUAUAUUGUUUUUCAUUGAUUUCAGGCUCAUUGCUCUUCAUCGACCUCAUGGGUGUCGAAACAAUGGAAGAUGUAUCCGGUAUGGCGUCAGCAACCCAUGAGGCGAUGAAGAGCGGGAGCAAGACGCUCACAUUUGAGUGUGUUUCUUGAAGAUAUGGCAAGUAAGGCAAGAUAAAUCAUCUUGAAUUGACAAACAUUCUUGUACUAUAAAUUUGUACCUACAAGAAUGUCUAUUUGUUUAUUUGUUCAGAGGUUGAAGGCCAGAUGCUUUGGGCUAGCCUAACCCAAACUUGCAGGGUAAAGGGUUUGGGGUACAGAAUGGACAAACGCUGGUAUUAGUUUCAUUACAUUCAAUGUUGGUUUUCUGUGGGGAGCCCCUUUGGCUCCCUGGAGCUAUAGAUGUAUUAGAGUUCAACUUAGUAAACAAGGUUUACUAAGUUGCUUGUGCAGGGAGGGGGGGGGAGGGUAACAAAGUAGCUGUUGUAGGAAUGAUCUAGAAUGUUUUAUCUGACAUGGGAAAAUGGGAAACUGGACCCACGUGGGGACCUGACCCAGCAAGGUCGCAUCCCCUGGGGGAUUGGCGGUGAAAAUAACUGGCGCCUUUGUUCACAGUUUCGUAUAAUGAAUCAUUCUAUAGUAUUCACUUAUUUAGAGAAAUUAGUCUUCAUUCAAAUUCUAUAAUAUUACUGGUUAUAAUAUCAAGAGUACCCUAAUUGUCAGGAUAAUGAGUCAAGUCACCAUCAGUGACGUCACGAGCCAGGACUAGGCUGUAGCGCGGAGUGACCUCGGCGACCUGGCGGUCACAGGUCAGCAGAGGUUCCACAUUAAGUAAUUCUCAAAGGUCAAAUAGUCAUUUUGUAAGUGGGAAUAGCUCUUCCCUAAGAUGCUUGUGUAAUUAACUUCAGUUAAAAUAAUUCAACCAAUCUGGAUCAUUCAGUGCAACAGAGGUUAGUUGUUGAACUUAAGCCUCGCAAGUAACUUAGACUAGGCGGAAGCAUACAAUGCUCUGGUCUGGGUAGACAAGCAUGUGGGAAGGACAGUGUGGUAUCAGGAGCAACCCGGGACAGGUGUCCACUCCACCUCUCCCAAGACAUUAGCACAAACAUCUAGUUGGUUGCCAAAAAGAUAAAAUUCACUCAGAGUUGUUAUAGGGAAUAGGUCAACUCAUUGCCAAUAUGCUAAAGUCAGGGAGUGUUCAGGUUAGGGAGUGAAGUUAUUUAGAUUUUGUUUUAGAUUUUAAAUUAAUUAGUAAUUUGCAUUUUCAUUAUUUCCAUUUUUGUGUAAUUUAUGUGAAUUGAUCCGGGACCACGUGGGCA